rnacentral:rRNA from 1 species
UGGGGGAUAUUGCGCAAUGGGGGCGAACCCUGACGCAGCAACGCCGCGUGAACGAUGAAGGUCUUCGGAUUGUAAAGUUCUUUUAUUAAGGACGAAGAAGUGACGGUACUUAAUGAAUAAGCUCCGGCUAACUACGUGCCAGCAGCCGCGGUAAUACGUAGGGAGCAAGCGUUGUCCGGAUUUACUGGGUGUAAAGGGUGCGUAGGCGGCAGAGCAAGUCAGAUGUGAAAUCCGUGGGCUUAACCCCACGAACUGCAUUUGAAACUGUUUUGCUUGAGUGAAGUAGAGGCAGGCGGAAUUCCCUGUGUAGCGGUGAAAUGCGUAGAUAUUAGGAGGAACACCAGUGGCGAAGGCGGUCAACUGGACGAUAACUGACGCUGAGGCGCGAAAGCGUGG